AUUGAACGCUGGCGGUAGGCCUAACACAUGUAAGUCGAACGGCAGCACAGAGGAGCUUGCUCCUUGGGUGGCGAGUGGCGGACGGGUGAGGAAUACAUCGGAAUCUACUCUGUCGUGGGGGAUAACGUAGGGAAACUUACGCUAAUACCGCAUACGACCUACGGGUGAAAGCAGGGGACCUUCGGGCCUUGCGCGAUUGAAUGAGCCGAUGUCGGAUUAGCUAGUUGGCGGGGUAAAGGCCCACCAAGGCGACGAUCCGUAGCUGGUCUGAGAGGAUGAUCAGCCACACUGGAACUGGGACACGGUCCAGACUCCUACGGGAGGCAGCAGUGGGGAAUAUUGGACAAUGGGCGCAAGCCUGAUCCAGCCAUACCGCGUGGGUGAAGAAGGCCUUCGGGUUGUAAAGCCCUUUUGUUGGGAAAGAAAUCCAGCUGGCUAAUACCCGGUUGGGAUGACGGUACCCAAAGAAUAAGCACCGGCUAACUUCGUGCCAGCCGCCGCCGUAA
rnacentral:rRNA from 1 species